GAGGCGUGGCUUCCGGAGCUAACGCGUUAAGUCGACCGCCUGGGGAGUACGGCCGCAAGGUUAAAACUCAAAUGAAUUGACGGGGGCCCGCACAAGCGGUGGAGCAUGUGGUUUAAUUCGAUGCAACGCGAAGAACCUUACCUGGUCUUGACAUCCACAGAACUUGGCAGAGAUGCCUUGGUGCCUUCGGGAACUGUGAGACAGGUGCUGCAUGGCUGUCGUCAGCUCGUGUUGUGAAAUGUUGGGUUAAGUCCCGCAACGAGCGCAACCCUUAUCCUUUGUUGCCAGCGGUUAGGCCGGGAACUCAAAGGAGACUGCCAGUGAUAAACUGGAGGAAGGUGGGGAUGACGUCAAGUCAUCAUGGCCCUUACGACCAGGGCUACACACGUGCUACAAUGGCGCAUACAAAGAGAAGCAAUCUCGCGAGAGCUAGCGGACCUCAUAAAGUGCGUCGUAGUCCGGAUUGGAGUCUGCAACUCGACUCCAUGAAGUCGGAAUCGCUAGUAAUCGUGAAUCAGAAUGUCACGGUGAAUACGUUCCCGGGCCUUGCACUCCCCGCCCGUCAA
rnacentral:rRNA from 1 species